rnacentral:snRNA from 14 species
AGAUUAAUCUAACUUGGAUCAGGAAGAUGGUUUUGUUCCCCAGGAUAAGGCUCACCCUUUGCAUUCCAGGUCUGUGGAGCCCUGUGAUGUUUCCAAAGGCGGCAAACUCAGAUGUGUAUUUGUAGUGAUGGGGUACGUGUUCACACUUGCCUGUG